UACAGAGGGUGCAAGCGUUAAUCGGAAUUACUGGGCGUAAAGCGUGCGUAGACGGUUACAUAAGUCGGGUGUGAAAGCCCCGGGCUCAACCUGGGAAUUGCAUUCGAGACUGCGUAGCUAGGGUGCGGAAGAGGGAAGCGGAAUUUCCGGUGUAGCGGUGAAAUGCGUAGAUAUCGGAAGGAACACCAGUGGCGAAAGCGGCUUCCUGGUCCAGCACCGACGUCAGGCACGAAGCGUGGGGAGCAAACAGG
rnacentral:rRNA from 1 species